rnacentral:rRNA from 1 species
UGCAUCGAUGAAGAACGUAGCAAAAUGCGAUACUUGGUGUGAAUUGCAGAAUCCCGUGAACCAUCGAGUUUUUGAACGCAAGUUGCGCCCGAAGCCUUUUGGCCGAGGGCACGUCUGCCUGGGCGUCACGC